ACGGGCCUUACUGUUUUGGACUUAUAUGGGUGUCAAGAACUCAAGAGCUUGCCGAGCAGCAUUCGUAUGGGAUCUCUUCAUACCCUUUUUCUUUCAGGCUGCUCAAAACUUGAGAAGUUUCCAGAGAUUUCAGAUGUUAUGGAGAAGCUAUCAAAGCUUUAUUUAGAUGGGACUGCAAUUAAAGAACUGCCUUCGUCAAUUAAUCAACUCAGGGGCCUUACUGUUUUGGACCUAUCUGGGUGUCUAGAACUCAAGAGCCUGCCCUGCAGCAUUCAUAUGGGAUCUCUUCAAACCCUUAAUCUUUCUGGUUGCUCAAAAUUUGAGAAGUUUCCAAAUAUUUCAGAUGUUAUGGAGAAGCUAUCACAACUUUAUUUAGGUGGGACUACCAUUAAAGAACUGACUUUGUCAAUUAAUAAACUCACGGGCCUUACUGUUUUGGAUCUAUCUGGGUGUCAAGAACUCAAGAGCCUGCCGAGCAGCAUUCGUAUGGGAUCUCUGCAAACCCUUAUUCUUUCAGGCUGCUCAAAAUUUGAGAGGUUUCCAGAGAUUUCAGGAAUGGAGAUGCUAUCAGAGCUUCAUUUAGAUGGGACUGCAAUCAAAGAACUGCCUUCAUCAAUUAAUAAACUCACGGGCCUUCGUCAUUUAGAUGGAGUCCAAUCACGUGAUUCUUGGGUACCAGGGCAGCAGCAUCGCAUCAGAAGGUGUGGAGUUCGUCUCUUUUAUGCCAAUAGUGAAGAGAUGCAUAACCAAAGCAUGACACAGCCUGACUAUCCAUCAUGAAAAUUCUGAAGCGGAAUUUCGUGCUUUUGGCAGAUCACUGGUAAGAGUUGCUCAUUCUAAGAGGAACCGUGAGGGGUGUUGCUAUAAUGCGGCUGAACAAAGUUGAGGUCAGGCCCGGCCCAGGCGCAGUGCAACAGGGGCAAUUGUCCAGGGCCCAAAGUUGAAUGGGGCACCCAAAAAACAAAAUCCAAAUAAUUAGGUAUAAAAAAAAAUUUGUCCAAAGCCCAAAAUAAAGGCUGUAGGCGAUAACUUGUCCAGGUUUUGGGGAUUAAAAAUCAAUAUAACAUAAAGGGUAUCUGAAGGGGACAAGUCGUCCAGGUUUUGGGCAUGGAGGAGAGGCAUAAGAUUCAAGUUUUUCAAAGGGAGCUCCCUCUCUGCUUGGAGCUUGUCACUCAACUGCCCAAGCCCAAGCUAUUGAGAGGUGCAAGCAGCAGAUUUCAGAUGCAACCGCAAAUUACCUGCAUGGACAAUCUAAGUGUUCUGAGCAGACUUCAAGUGAGGGGCAUGUUUUUGAGGAAUUCAUUCCAUUAACACGGAUUUCAUACAACUCCAGAUGCACCACUCGAAGAGGGUAAUGGCAGGAGGAGCAAGUUAAAGGCUAUAGUGAUGGAGAUGAAGAGAAAUGGGGUGCUUUUCAGCCUUUCCAAAGGAAAAAAAAAGCAUUGGAAAGACAAAUGGACCGGUGGCUAAAGAACCUUCUUCGGCUCCGGCUACUAGUUCCACCACGGACACCGUGAGUGGAGACAGUGGUGGGAACAACAAGAACAAAGAGAAAGAUGGACAGGGAAACGAAGGCGAAACUGGUCACCGGAGUUGCACCGCCGGUUCUUGCAUGCUCUUCUCUUCAACAACUUGGUGGUUCACAUGGGCACAUUUUGAACUUUCGCACUGGGCAUCAAAAAACUCAGGACCGGCCCUGGUUGAGGUGAAACCCCCGACGUGGAGGAUUUAUAUCCUAAAAGAUUGGUACUUCCUGAUGGGGCAAAGGAAAACUGAAGAGAAUAAUUCCUGUGUGUUGGAUUUGACUGCUCAGUUCUGUUGGGUCUCGACCCUUUCUUACGCGGACCUAAAACCAAACUGUUGUGGCUCUUUAGUUGGCAUGUGCGGAUCACAUGCUAGGUCUUUUUAGCGCUCAUAAUAUAAAGCCUCACAUUGUGCAAUUUGGACGAGAGGUUGAACCGAAGCAGCUGCACUAGUAUGACGGGAAGAGGAGCCGAAACCCAAUAGAAGAGAGAAAUAAUUCGGAGCUGCUGCAUUUUUAUUUUUUUUUUGGUAAGAGUGAAACCAGUUAGAGAUUGUUGUAGUUGCAGAGAGACAAAUAUUUUGUUUCUAAUUCGUUUAUUCGCUCAUCUAUUUGUGUGUAUUUGAGUGUAUUUUGGGUUUGAGUUUGAGAGCUUUCUUUGUAA